rnacentral:rRNA from 1 species
CCUCUAAGAGGGGGAUGACACAGAGAAAUCUGUGCUAAUACCGCAUAAAGCUGGGACUUUGCAUGAAGUAACAGCCAAAGGAGAAAUCCGCUUAGAGAUGGGCCCGCGGCGCAUUAGCUAGUUGGUGAGGUAACGGCUCACCAAGGCGACGAUGCGUAGCCGACCUGAGAGGGUGAUCGGCCACAUUGGAACUGAGACACGGUCCAGACUCCUACGGGAGGCAGCAGUGGGGAAUAUUGCACAAUGGGGGAAACCCUGAUGCAGCAACGCCGCGUGAGCGACGAAGGCCUUCGGGUUGUAAAGCUCUGUCUUCGCUGAAGAAACCUGACGGUAAGCGAGGAGGAAGCCACGGCUAACUACGUGCCAGCAGCCGCGGUAAUACGUAGGUGGCGAGCGUUGUCCGGAAUUAUUGGGCGUAAAGGAUGCGUAGGUGGUAGUUUAAGUGGGAUGUGAAAUCCCUGGGCUUAACCCAGGAACUGCAUUCCAAACUGGACUACUAGAGUGCAGGAGAGGAAAGUGGAAUUCCUAGUGUAGCGGUGAAAUGCGUAGA